ensembl:lncRNA
CAACUGGGCGGUUCUCCAAACAGCAUAUUAGAAACUUCUUCGAGCGUUGUUCUGUACCUUUAAGUAUUUUAAGUACUUUAAGCACACGACAAACUCACUGUUCAACGAGGUGUUAGUACAGUUAUUAACAAUCAUACGUGGAAAAAUAGGCUGUCAUUUUCUGCAGUUCGACAUUAAAGUGCUUUCAGUGUCGAAGAUUUCCAGCACAAUGUGAACACAUGUACAGAUCUUCAGUCUUCACCUUGUGGAAGUUGCCCUCAGCCCAAAAAUACUGCAUUGUUUGCCUGGUGUAUUAAUUUGUUCUGGAAGAUUGUGUCCUCUUAGAGACAGAGUCUGACUGACUUAAGGAACAGAUGGUGUUAUUACAAAAACACCAAUUAGCGGGAAGUGGGUUGCAUCAACACAGCUCUCUGAGCUUCGUGUUGGUGGCCGUCUGUGCUGCGCUGACAGGUUAUGUCAGAAAGAAGUGUUCCCGCUGAACAGAUUGGGAAUGACAUAUGUCAGGAGCCUUGGCUGUCUAGGGCCCAGCGAGAGAGGUAUCGGGGCCUUUGAGCAUUGCUCCUCUUGCCUGCAGUCUUUUCCUGUGUGAAUAGAAUGAAGAGAAGCAUCAGACACAGAUACAAAGGCAGAUGUAGAGAGCAUUGUGCCAGCAACACCAAGGUCAUUGGACUGAUUCCCAGGGAAAGCAAGAACUGAAAAAAUAUGCACCUUGAAUGCAGUGUAUGUCACUUUGGAUAAAAGCAUCUAUCAAAUGCAUACUUGCAAAUGAAAAUGCAAUUAUGAGGGUCACGUUUGUGAGUUGUUGUUUUUUUUAUAUAAACAAUUAUUAGCAAACAUUAUAUAUAGGAAUAUCUCAUGUAAAUGUUUUAAAAUGAUUAGUAUAGAUUUAUUGACCAUCACUUGUCACAGGUGUGUACAAUUGAAGAUUUAUUAAAAGUUAACGUGC